rnacentral:snoRNA from 1 species
GUAUAUGAUGAACAACGGGUCUGCUGAGUCAAUGGGGGUCGGACGCGAUCUCUGGAUUAUGAUGAUCCGUUGGAGCACUGAUA